GUGACGGAGCGACGCCGCGUGUGGGACGAAGCCCUUCGGGGUGUAAACUCCUGUCGAGGGGGAGGAAGGCGCAAGCUUGACCGAUCCCUGGAGGAAGCACGGGCUAAGUUCGUGCCAGCAGCCGCGGUAAGACGAACCGUGCGAACGUUAUUCGGAAUCACUGGGCUUAAAGCGCGUGUAGGCGGGACGGCACGUCCGACGUUGAAAUCCCCCGGCUCAACCGGGGAACGGGCGCGGAUACGACCGUCCUCGAGGAACGUAGGGGGACCUGGAACUUCCGGUGGAGCGGUGAAAUGCGUUGAGAUCGGAAGGAACGCCCGUGGCGAAAGCGAGGUCCUGGACGUUUACUGACGCUGAGACGCGAAAGCCAGGGGAGCAAACGGGAUUAGAUACCCCGGUAGUCCUGGCCGUAAACGAU
rnacentral:rRNA from 1 species